UAAAGAACUAAUCAAAUCUCUUUAAUGUUUAAGCCUAUUUGUAUCUGAUAUUUUGUUACUUGCAGCCAAAAGCAGCCUAGCUGAUACACAAUCGUCCCCCUGCCCCCUGGUCACCCUUACAGCUCAGAGAUGAACUCUAGAGAAAUGCAAAGCCCCAGUUGGGAGCCAGCCGGAGACUCUCCUGGUCUUUAGCUGGGAAAAUAGGACUGUGGGGGUGGGGGCAGCAUCAGAUGGAUCACAGACUCCAAGCAAAGGCAUGAUAGGAGUUUAUUUACAGACAAGACACAGCAACCAGCACCCACUCAGGCUCUGACCAGGGGAGGUGGUAGACAAGACCCCAGAUAUAUAUAAAUAUACAUAUAGGCAGGAUUGAGGACAUAGAAAGGAGAGGGCCCCAGUCUUUGCCAGGUAUCAGUGAUCACCUGUUAUGGUCCCCAUG
rnacentral:lncRNA from 10 species